GACAGAGGGUGCGAACGUUGUUCGGAAUUACUGGGCGUAAAGCGCGUGUAGGCGGUCGUGCAAGUCGGGUGUGAAAGCCCUGGGCUCAACCCAGGAAGUGCAUUCGAUACUGGCGUGCUUGAGGACUGGAGAGGAGACUGGAAUUCAUGGUGUAGCAGUGAAAUGCGUAGAGAUCAUGAGGAAGACCAGUGGCGAAGGCGGGUCUCUGGACAGUUCCUGACACUGAGACACGAAGGCUAGGGGAGCAAACGGG
rnacentral:rRNA from 1 species